rnacentral:sRNA from 1 species
CCUAUGGAGUGUACAAGGAACUGUAAGUAGUAACUAAAUUUAUUUAGUACAAAAGCAUACACGAUGAAAUAGGAA